GAAAAGCGAUCAAAGCUUAGCGGCCAGGCCUUCGCGAAAAAAUAAUGCGCCGCCAUCUUGGUUUUAAAAGUUUCCCAAAAUUUGCGAAGACAAAUAACAGAAUUUUACUACAUUUUUGUCUAUGUUACGAGCCAAAACAUUGCCAAAUAUAAAGACAGAUGACAUGGUAAGUGUAAUGUCGUAUUUAAUAACUGUUAUUUGAAUUAUUAUUAUAUAAAAUGUGCACAUGUAUCUGACUCAGGAGUGAGCACUGAGCAUUCAAACCCGUCAUCUAUAAUAAUAUUAAUAUAAAAGUAAUAAAACUGAUUGAAAGUGACUGCUUUCGUUCUUUGAAUGAUGGCCUGCCUGUUCACAACUCAUUAAUAUAUGUAUGCAAAAUUGUAAAGCACUCUGUUUGAAUUUUCAAGGAAGAAUUUGUCAAUUUGAGUAUUUGUAAACAGUUUUUCGCCUCUGGUACUUUUGCAUAUUUCCACAUUAAAGACAUUUCACUGCAAGUGCACAUAGUCCAUGUAUCUGUAAUUUUAAACUUCAUACUGUUUUGUACACAUGCAGCUGUUGCAGUGUUUCAGGUAUACCAUGCUAGUCACUACAAGUUCCCUUUCUGAUAUAAAGAGUCGUGAUGUACUGGUACCGUAAACUUACGACUAUAAGCCGCCCCCCGAAUAUAAGCCCCCCCCCAUGUAUAAGCCCAUCACAUGUACUAAAGCUCACCUCAUCCCAAAUAUAAGCCCACCCUGAAUAUAAGCCCCCCCCCGAAUAUAAGUCCCCCAAAUUGAUAUAAGCCCAGUAAUUGCUGCUUAAUACAUUUUUAAUUUCCUGUUUAUGACUGACUUGUAUAUGUUUGGCUUGUUUAUUACUAACACUAACACAAAAGAUCAUCCAUGUAUAAGCCCCCCCCCCUUGUAUAAGCCCAUCAAAAAUCGCUUAUGAAAGUAUUUAAAUUAAGCCAGGUUUUAUAGUCGGAGGUUUACAGUAUAUGUAUACAGUAUAUUAAAGUAAUUGGAAACCAAAAUUUCAUGGGAUAUAGGUAACAAUUGCAAGUGGAAUUAAUAGUUGAAACAACCUACUUUCCCUCAUGCAUAUAACUUGAUGUGGUAUGAGGGUCGCUAAGCCCGGGCUGGUCUAACCUGAGAUUGGGCUGUAUUAUACGGAUAAUAACCUGACACAAAUAUUAAUCCAAUCACUUUCCACCCCCAACAAAGUUUAUAUUUAGUAUCCAAUCAAAAUGUCACAGGAGAAAUUAAAAUUUCGCACAACGACAACAACAAUCUGAUUAUAGUUGUGAUCACUAUAAAAUAUAUCAACAACAACAGUAUAAUCUAAUUAACACCAACCAAUCAAAUAACAGAUUGAAAAAUCUUUUGUCUCGUAGACCAACCAGAUUUACAACUGAAAUACGGCUGUAAGGCAUGGACUUUGUUUAGGUUUGUUUCAGGCCUAUUUAUUUAUUUAUAGGCCGGAUGGCAGGUUAGGGCCUGACCAACAACUGAGGUAGGAUGCAUCAUCACUAUGGAAUCCAGACAGGCAUGUCAAUUUUUGGAAAUCAAAGUUGUCUAUAAAGUCAUAAAGACCCAAUACUUUAUUUCACAAAGAACUGCCUCCCCCAAUACCCCCAAGUAAAUCCAUCCCACUGCUACACAAAAGAAUACUUCUUUCCCUCUAGUUAAUUAACAAUGAAAGUAUAUUUUUUACAGAUCUCUGCAAUAUUACUUUUACAACCUUGAAGAUAUGAUUAUGAUGACAAAUGUUGGUACAUUGCAGAGUAUUUUGUACAUCCUAUAAACUUUUUGUAAUAUCCACACAAUAGAUAAAUUUGUAUCAUAAUUAAAUUUGUAUCACAAUCUGUAAUUUAAUAAAUAUUCAUUUCAUCUUGUUUCGUUUCAUGUUUUCUUAAUAGCCUGCAAGAAAAGAUCUUCUUAGAAAAUCUGAUAUUUUUUGAAAAUGUAUUACAAUGUAUAUACAUGAUCUAAUUGGUUCCUGCCCAUGCCCACCCACCUAUGUUUUUUCCAAUGAAAUUAAUAAGAGCAGUAUGUUGAAAGAGGUUCAAACAUGGGAGAUUUUCCUGCAAAACAUGGGAGAUUUUCCUGCAAAAGCUGGGUUUGCCUGAUAAGAGAGAUAUCACUAUGUAUAGCACAGGCCUUUUUUAAGUACUAUCACUAUUUGAAUUAUCACUAUUUGAAUUGCUCAAACCUGAUGCGGAGUAAAAUCAUCUGGCAUUAGACAGAGUAAAAUACUAAAGUAAGGCACAAUGGGGUGCAUUGCCACUUAAAGGGUUAAUGAAAUCAAAUCAACUCAGCAUAUGGUGUUCAGCCUCCAUAACUGAAAGCAAUAGACCCUUCCAAGGUUGACAAUGCCAUAAUGAAACAAUAGUACAAGGGGUGCAAACACAACGGAAUUCCCUAUAGGGGAGGUAAAUUUGCAAGGGGUACAAACACAAUGGUGAAAACUAUAUAUUCAAGAUGGCAUCCUUAACCUUGGAAGGGCCUAUUCUCAGAAAAAAAACUAUUUUUACUUCAUCCUGAGGUAAGCAAAGGUAAUUUUGAUCUAGGACAAGAGAGGUGACAGCUUUCCUAUAUGAAACUUUCUGACAUAUAAACAAAACAAAUUCAUCCCACUUACUGGUUUUGCUAGUUCCACAUAAUGCUAGCUCUGCAGCUUAAUGGGUUAAUUAUGUUACCAUUGCAAUGAUCCUGAAGAAAUUGAUAAAAAA